GCUCUCGUAGAUCAACGGUAGAUCCUUCACUUACAGUAUUCUUCGACAAUACCUCUGUGUACGUGGAUGACGUGGGUUCGAAUCCCGCCGAGGGCU